rnacentral:tRNA from 1 species
UUCUUGAUAGCUUAAUUUGGUGAAAGCGUAUGGUUGUUAACCAUUUGAUUAUAGGUUCGAAUCCUAUUCAAGAAG